rnacentral:rRNA from 1 species
GAUGAACGCUAGCGAUAGGCCUAACACAUGCAAGUCGAGGGGCAGCAUAGAGUAGCAAUACUUUGAUGGCGACCGGCGCACGGGUGAGUAACACGUAUGCAACCUACCUACAUCAGGGGAAUAACCCGGAGAAAUUCGGACUAAUACCGCAUAAUACAGGGAUGCCGCAUGGCAAUAUUUGUUAAAGAUUUAUCGGAUGUAGAUGGGCAUGCGUUCCAUUAGCUAGUUGGUGAGGUAACGGCUCACCAAGGCAACGAUGGAUAGGGGAACUGAGAGGUUUGUCCCCCACACUGGAACUGAGACACGGACCAGACUCCUACGGGAGGCAGCAGUGAGGAAUAUUGGUCAAUGGACGAGAGUCCGAACCAGCCAAAUCGCGUGAAGGAAGACUGCCCUACGGGUUGUAAACUUCUUUUGUACAGGAAUAAAGGACAUUACGUGUAAUGUAUUGCAUGUACUGUACGAAUAAGCAUCGGCUAACUCCGUGCCAGCAGCCGCCGUAA